CCAAAUUAGAAAUGCAGAUAAGCUCUCAUGAGGUUGGCUCUUUGGCAAUGCCCCUUUAUCUACUGAUCAGCCUGAGGCCCUGGUGUUCCAUUCUACCUUUGUCUUUGUGUACUUCUGCAAUCCAGAUGGACUUGUACUCUCCCUGAGAAUCUUCUGCUGAUCCUUGCCCAAAAUGUGAACCACGGCUUACUGGCUGAAGUAUAAAAAUUGCUGAAGGACAUUUUCUAUCACACUUUGGGCAGCACACAAAAUUGAUGGAAAAUUACCUUUCCAAGAGAGAAAAGAAAUAAGCAGUUCCUUGUAGAAAUGCAGAAGACCACCUGCAGCUUGAAGGAUUGUUGGGUUCCAAGUUGAAGAGCUGCAGAACCAGAAUCUGUCACAUCUCAGAGGAAAGAGAUGUCCUUAAAACCAGAUGAGGCACUGCAAGAAAUCCUUCACCCAAUGCCACACAGUUUCUCCGCCUUUUCACCCAAAGUUAGAGAGCCAGCAAGAAACAAAGGUGUUGAGAUAUUUUUCUAUACCUCCACACAAAGAAACAGGAAACAUUUGACAAGAGAGAGAAAGAAACUAGCAGAGAUACUCUUGGACUUUUCAGCAGAAAUGCCACUGGCCUAGGAUCAAGCCCAAUCACAGCUGGGCAGAGAGGUCUUCAGAGCUCAGGAGCAGACCCUGAUCCCCCAGAAGGAUCCUGGAACCUCCCAAUGACUUCUCCAAGAUGGUGAGUAAUCUGAGACAGAAAUACAAAUUCAUCAUUCUUAUCAUUGUUCUUAUCGUUUUCUUUAUCGUAUUCAUUGCUCCGCUAAGUAAAGAACAAUCAUGAUUUAAGAAACUCCUUCACUUCCCAAUGAAAAUAAAAUACAAGCUAUCUGGCACAGCUUGAGGACACAGUUUAAAUUGUGCCUAAUCCCUUUUUAUGCCUCCAGUUCUGGAUGCUAUGUUUGACACCUGCUUUUUUGAAGAAUUUAGUAUACAUCUUCUGUAGAUUAUGGAGCUUCCCAGCUGUUAAAUUAAGUGAAUGCAAACAAGAAUCUUUAAUGAUCAGUUACUUUUAAAGCUUUAACUGAGUAUUCUUGCUGUUUAAUUCUUAGGAGACACCACUUCGUUAUAGCACUGGUUCUCACUCAGUUCUUUUACAUGAGAACACUGACUGUGCUUGUGGAAGAUCUUUAACUUUAUUUGCAAUGUUAAAUAACCAAAGGGAAAGUUAAAUAUGGUAAGAAAAUUCUGUGUACACAAUGUCUUUCUUUAUACAUCCUCACACAUCUGCAACAGACAACCUCUGCUUUUAUUUCAGGUCCAGAUGAGUGUAAAUUUUUGAAGGAGGAACGCAACUUUUAGACCUCUGAAAACCUAUAUGUUUUGAUUUUUUACUUUCACAGAUACUAUAAAUUCUCUCUAGAAGAUUCACCAUCACCCACAAGUUGUCUCAACACCUUGAAUAAUAAAGUUCACAAACAU